rnacentral:lncRNA from 1 species
AGUCUGUACUCCUGUUCAGCCGCUGUCCUCCCGGGAACCUUGGGGAUGUGGAUCCCGGAUUCCAGGGACCGCAGUUGAGCCAGCCUCGCCAGUCCUGUACCACUUGCUGAGGAGCAGGAUCUCGCGGACAGGUCCGAGAGCAGGUCAGGAUCGGACUAGGUAACUCUUAACGCGCGAGCUGGUUCCGGCCAAAGCCGUCUGCGUUCGAUCGCCCGGAGCUAGUGGGGGCCAGGAGCGGGUCCCGCCUCCACUUGCAGCUCACAGCUAAGGUCGGCCCCGCCUGAGCUCCCAGAGUAGCAGUGCACAGGGCCUGGCACCCUCAAGCGUGCUCAACUUGGCCAAACAAAUCUCUGCUCCGUCGUGUCUGUUCCCUGGAGGGCGCUGUGGUGACCCGGAGCGACAGGGGUUGACCUACCAGAGGAACUUUGUGCUCCGGUGGACAUGUUCCUUAAAUCCUAACGCUCUUUGGGCCCCGUGUGUUUAGUAUCAGUGAGAAUCAGUUCAUGUUCUUCAAGUUCAGGCCCAAGGCAGUGAGGUGGGUACGGUCAGGAGUGGUUGGUGAUGGGGUUGUCUUCAUAUUCCACCCUCACAGUUCUAAUGUUCUUUUAAGGCCACCACCGCCUCCUGCUGCCUUGAACUGGAAGCAAUCUUCCUGCCUCAUUACACCGAGCUGUCUGUUUCUUCUCUGUACUGGCGUUUUUUCUUACUCCUUCCAUUGCCUCCUUGUAUUCCUUAUAUGUUGCUUUAUAACAAACAAGAAGUUUAUUGGUUUAUCCUAGCAAUCUUUAUCCUAGGUGUGGUGGUGGAUUUCUGUAAUCCCAGAAGUUGAGGCUGAGACAUAUGAAUUUGGAGUUUGAGAUAAGCCUGGGCUACAAUAUGCGGUCUUCCCCAAAUGCACAAAAUAAAACAACCUUUAUUAGUCAACACUUUCUGUGGGUAGGGAAUCAGUCUACCUGGGUGAUGAUGGCCCAGUAACUCUCGCCAAGUUGGGGGAUCCAAAUCCAAGAUAGUGGACUCAAAAGACCAGUGGCAGGAGUCCUCAUUGUUUUCUGUUGGUAUCUGCCUUCCCUCAGAAGAGUUAUCUGUAAGGGAAGUGGGGCGAUAGGGAGUGAUAGAAACCACUGUCAUUAUGACCCAGUUUGCAAAGUCUAACUCCCCCCUCCACAUUCUUUUUGUAUUACUAGGUACAUAGGAGGUGGGUACAGCAGAGCUUAUGAAAUGAGUGUGUGCAUGCAAGAGUGAGUGUAGGUGUAGUGUGUCAAGGACAGUGACCUGUAGGGGCUCUCCCUCCUCUAUAUGGGUUCCAGAGAAUCCUCUUGUCACAAGUCUUCCAGUGGUGGAAUUUUGUGUCACCAUCCCAGAACCCUACUAACCGACCUAGCACCCCAGCUCCUCACCUCCCCAGCUCCCCAACUCUCUUUUGGGAAUGGAGUUUUUUGAGACAAAUUUUGCUUUUAUCCCUGGCUGGCCUGGAACUCAUGGUAUAGACCAGGCUGGCCUCAAACCAGAGGUGAGCCUCUUUGCUCUUUCAAGUACUAGGGUCUCAGAUAUAUGCUACCAAGUCCAGCUUGUGAAUGUUAUGUUUUUUUUCUAGAAUUUAUGUGUAUAACUCUGUUGCCUGG